UACGGAGGGUGCAAGCGUUGUCCGGAUUUAUUGGGUUUAAAGGGUGCGUAGGCGGCCCGUUAAGUCAGUGGUGAAAGCCUCCAGCUCAACUGGAGAACUGCCAUUGAUACUGGCGGGCUUGAGUACAGACGAGGUUGGCGGAAUUGAUUGUGUAGCGGUGAAAUGCAUAGAUACAAUCAAGAACACCGAUUGCGUAGGCAGCUAACUGGGCUGUAACUGACGCUGAGGCACGAAAGCGUGGGGAGCGAACAGG
rnacentral:rRNA from 1 species